UAUGUGAGGGUGGGCAAAUCAUCUUGUUGAUCUCCUGGAACAAGUGUUCCUUGCAUCACAUAAUCACAUUAUCUAGAUGGCCAAGUACACGACUCCCAUCCAUUCGAGAGUCCUGCUGCAGGCUCUACUUCUUCUCAUAUGCCUUGCUACUACUACACAAUGUCGAAUCACCACCGACGGCAUCAAUAAUGAUAAGAUCAAUUUACCACAUGGGUUGUGCGCUUACAAAAAGUUCAUUGAUGCCUACUGUUGCCUUGCGAGAAAUUUGUGUUAUGCGACAGUCGAUCAAUGUGAAAAAGAAUGCCCAAAAUCUGGAAGCAUGGUGGCGAUGGCAACCCCUUCUCUACGUACCCUAUCUCCACUUCCAUCAACUUGAAUUUUUGAUAGAAUAAAUAAUGUGUGGUAUGCGGAAAAGUAUUUGAAAUAAAAAGUAUAUCAGUUGUUCUUUCA